rnacentral:rRNA from 1 species
GUUGGUGGGUGAUGGCCUACCAAGGCGACGACGGGUAGCCGGCUUGAGAGGGCGACCGGGCACACUGGGACUGAGACACGGCCCAGACUCCUACGGGAGGCAGCAGUGGGGAAUAUUGCACAAUGGGCGGAAGCCUGAUGCAGCGACGCCGCGUGAGGGAUGACGGCCUUCGGGUUGUAAACCUCUUUCAGCAGGGACGAAGCGGAAGUGACGGUACCUGCAGAAGAAGCGCCGGCCAACUACGUGCCAGCAGCCGCGGUAAGACGUAGGGCGCGAGCGUUGUCCGGAUUUAUUGGGCGUAAAGAGCUCGUAGGCGGCUUGUCGCGUCGACCGUGAAAACUUGGGGCUCAACCCCAAGCCUGCGGUCGAUACGGGCAGGCUAGAGUUCGGUAGGGGAGACUGGAAUUCCUGGUGUAGCGGUGAAAUGCGCAGAUAUCAGGAGGAACACCGGUGGCGAAGGCGGGUCUCUGGGCCGAUACUGACGCUGAGGAGCGAAAGCGUGGGGAGCGAACAGGAUUAGAUACCCUGGUAGUCCACGCUGUAAACGUUGGGCGCUAGGUGUGGGGGGCCUUCCGGUACC